AAUAGAUACCCUGGUAGUCCACGCCGUAAACGAUGAGUGCUAAGUGUUAGGGGGUUUCCGCCCCUUAGUGCUGCAGCUAACGCAUUAAGCACUCCGCCUGGGGAGUACGGUCGCAAGACUGAAACUCAAAGGAAUUGACGGGGGCCCGCACAAGCGGUGGAGCAUGUGGUUUAAUUCGAAGCAACGCGAAGAACCUUACCAGGUCUUGACAUCCCGCUGACCGCUAUGGAGACAUAGCUUUCCCUUCGGGGACAGCGGUGACAGGUGGUGCAUGGUUGUCGUCAGCUCGUGUCGUGAGAUGUUGGGUUAAGCCCCGCAACGAGCGCAACCCUUGUCCUUAGUUGCCAUCAUUCAGUUGGGCACUCUAAGGAGACUGCCGUACAAAUACGGAGGAAGGUGGGGAUGACGUCAAAUCAUCAUGCCCCUUAUGACCUGGGCUACACACGUGCUACAAUGGACGGUACAAACGGUUGCGAAGUCGCGAGACGGAGCCAAUCCGAGAAAGCCGUUCUCAGUUCGGAUUGCAGGCUGA
rnacentral:rRNA from 1 species